rnacentral:rRNA from 1 species
GGGGGGGGCAAGCGUUGUUCGGAAUUACUGGGCGUAAAGGGCUCGUAGGCGGCCAACUAAGUCAGACGUGAAAUCCCUCAGCUUAACUGGGGAACUGCGUCUGAUACUGGAUGGCUUGAGAUUGGGAGAGGGAUGCGGAAUUCCAGGUGUAGCGGUGAAAUGCGUAGAUAUCUGGAGGAACACCGGUGGCGAAGGCGGCAUCCUGGACCAACACUGACGCUGAGGAGCGAAAGCCAGGGGAGCAAACGGGAUUAGAUACCCCGGUAGUCCUGGCCCUAAACGAUGAAUGCUUGGUGUGGCGGGUAUCGAUCCCUGCCGUGCCGAAGCUAACGCAUUAAGCAUUCCGCCUGGGGAGUACGGUCGCAAGGCUG